AUGUAGGGCAAUCUGUCUUUAAGUAAAUUACUCUAAAAUAAAGAAAAUCUUUAAAUAAAUUACUCAAAAAAAGAAAGAAUCCUAGAAAGUUUUCCCUUCAAGUCAGGCUUCUUAU
rnacentral:pre_miRNA from 1 species